GACAGAGGGUGCAAACGUUGUUCGGAUUUACUGGGCGUAAAGCGCGUGUAGGCGGCUUUGCAAGUCGGAUGUGAAAGCCCACGGCUCAACCGUGGAAGUGCGUCCGAAACUGCAUGGCUUGAGUACCGGAGAGGGUGGCGGAAUUCCCCAAGUAGAGGUGAAAUUCGUAGAUAUGGGGAGGAACACCGGUGGCGAAGGCGGCCACCUGGACGGAUACUGACGCUGAGACGCGAAAGCGUGGGGAGCAAACAGG
rnacentral:rRNA from 1 species